rnacentral:rRNA from 1 species
GAGCCAAUCCCAGCAAAGCCGGUCUCAGUUCGGAUUGCAGGCUGCAACUCGCCUGCAUGAAGUCGGAAUUGCUAGUAAUCGCGGAUCAGCAUGCCGCGGUGAAUACGUUCCCGGGUCUUGUACACACCGCCCGUCACACCACGAGAGUUUACAACACCCGAAGUCGGUGGGGUAACCCGCAAGGGAGCCAGCCGCCGAAGGUGGGGUAGAUGAUUGGGGUGAAGUCGUAACAAGGUAGCCGUAUCGGAAGGUGCGGCUGGAUCACCUCCUUUCUAUGGAGA